UACGGGGGGGGCAAGCGUUGUUCGGAAUUACUGGGCGUAAAGGGCUAGUAGGUGGCCAACUAAGUCAGGCGUGAAAUCCCUCAGCUUAACUGGGGAACUGCUUCUGAUACUGGAUGGCUUGAGUUUGGGAGAGGGAUGCGGAAUUCCAGGUGUAGCGGUGAAAUGCGUAGAUAUCUGGAGGAACACCGGUGGCGAAGGCGGCAUCCUGGACCAACACUGACACUGAAUAGCGAAAGCCAGGGGAGCAAACGGG
rnacentral:rRNA from 1 species